GGGGGGGGGGCAAGCGUUGUUCGGAAUUACUGGGCGUAAAGGGCGCGUAGGCGGUCCCGCAAGUCCUCCGUGAAAUCCCACAGCUCAACUGUGGAAUCGCGAGGGAAACUGCAGGACUUGAGUUCGGGAGAGGAGAGUGGAAUUCCCAGUGUAGCGGUGAAAUGCGUAGAUAUUGGGAGGAACACCGGUGGCGAAGGCGGCUCUCUGGACCGACACUGACGCUGAGGCGCGAAAGCUAGGGGAGCAAACGGGAUUAGAUACCCCGGUAGUCCUAGCCCUAAACGAUGAGCACUUGGUGUGGCGGGUAUCGACCCCUGCCGUGCCGAAGCUAACGCAUUAAGUGCUCCGCCUGGGGAGUACGGUCGCAAAGGCUG
rnacentral:rRNA from 1 species